rnacentral:misc_RNA from 1 species
GAUGAAGAACGCAGCGAAAUGCGAUACGUAAUGUGAAUUGCAGAAUUCAGUGAAUCAUCGAAUCUUUGAACGCAUAUUGCGCUCUCUGGUAUUCCGGAGAGCAUGCUUGUUUGAGUAUCAGUAAACACCUCAACUUCCAUAUCUUUUUUGAAAUGGGAGUUGGACUUGAGUGAUCCCAACGCUUUUCCUCACCGAAAAGUGGCGGGUUACUUGAAAUGCAGGUGCAGCUGGACUUUUCUCUGAGCUAUAAGCAUAUCUAUUUAGUCUGCCUAAAAAACAGAUUAUUACCUUUGCUGCAGCUAACAUAAAGGAGAUUAGUUCUUGUGCUGACUGAUUCAGUAUUCACAAAGACAGCUUCGGCCGACUUUGUAAACUCGAUCUCAAAUCAAGUAAGACUACCCGCUGAACUUAAGCAUAUCAAUAAGCGGAGGA